AAUAAGCAUGUGUUCAGAGUCAAACCCAAUUCCCUUUCCCUUAACUCCACGUAGCCCUCAUCUGGUUGUUACCGGAAUCCUCGCAAACAAAAUCGGAGGAACCUGUUAUCCUGUGUUAAUUAUGUCUUAUGAGAAUGGUACCGACUUCAAUUUCAUCACAACUACUUCUACUCGAUCACAUUCACGUCCCUGCGGUUGUUCGCUUUUUCAUCUUAUCUUAAGUUUUGUUGAGCACGUCGGUGGACCUUUGACUUGAGACUUUAGAAGUUCUUGACACUCGUUCAGGUAAUCAGGGGUGAUCGGGUUGUGCGCAGAGAGCGACUAGGCUUUGGAUCUGUGAAUUGAAGACUUUAUUUUUUUUUAUUUCGUGAACUUUUAGAUUGCUGAUUUUUAGUACCUAUUUUCUUCAGGUUGUUUUAGAAGUUGUAAGUUGGACUUUUUGGAUGGCUUGUUUUCUAUGUCGGACUCCAGUAGUUUAAGUUUUAAUUUGGACUGAAGGUUUUCUGUUAA